UACGGAGGGAGCUAGCAUUGUUCGGAAUUACUGGGCGUAAAGCGCACGUAGGCGGCUUUGUAAGUUAGAGGUGAAAGCCCGGGGCUCAACUCCGGAACUGCCUUUAAGACUGCAUCGCUUGAAUCCAGGAGAGGUGAGUGGAAUUCCGAGUGUAGAGGUGAAAUUCGUAGAUAUCGUAAGGAAGACCAGUGGCGAAGGCGGGUCUCUGGACAGUUCCUGACGCUGAGGCACGAAGGCCAGGGGAGCAAACGGG
rnacentral:rRNA from 1 species